rnacentral:rRNA from 1 species
GACGAACGCUGGCGGCGUGCUUAACACAUGCAAGUCGAGCGGAAAGGCCACUUCGGUGGUACUCGAGCGGCGAACGGGUGAGUAACACGUGAGUAAUCUGCCCCUGGCUUUGGGAUAGCCACCGGAAACGGUGAUUAAUACCGGAUAUGACAGUGUCACGCAUGUGAUGUUGUGGAAAGUUUUUCGGCCAGGGAUGUGCUCGCGGCCUAUCAGCUUGAUGGUGAGGUAAUGGCUCACCAUGGCUUCGACGGGUAGCCGGCCUGAGAGGGUGACCGGUCACACUGGGACUGAGACACGGCCCAG